UGGGGGUUUCCCUGCCUGGGACCCGAGGUGUGAAGGGCCCGUCGGGGCUGACCCCCAUG
rnacentral:pre_miRNA from 1 species